rnacentral:ncRNA from 1 species
GUGUUGUAUGAAAGGAAAGGAGACUGGCACUCAUGCUCAGGCCUCACAACACACAUAUGGUCAAGGCACUGCCAUGUACUUUGUGGCAUCUAACCACUAUGUAUU